AUCAGUUCUUAAGAGCAGGAACCAGCCAAGGGAAACCUUGGCAGAUCUGCUCUUAUUCUGCACUGACUCUCGCCCAGAUCCGACUCCCACUCCCACUCCCACUGCAGUUUGCAGUUUGCAGUGCAAUAACUAUUUUGUUAUCCAUUUACGUUGACGAUUGUGUUGGAGAUUAGCUCCAAAAAGCGCUGUCUCAGCAUGACUGGCAUGACGCCCCAAACAAGAUAAGAAUUUGAGCAGCAGAAAGCAGCCAAAAGGCAGAGCAUUCUGCCGAUCUUAUCAGAGAUCAAGGGCAGAUAAAGAUCUGCCCAGACUGUUAUCCAGUGAACAGAUUGAAUUUAGAAGAGUUCUAGUCUGCCGAUACGGGCCAAAGGCCUUGAGUCAUGCUGGGGUUGCUUCGAGAUCCCCAGAUCCCAAGCGAGGCAGGGGUGGGCUCUAUUCACUGAUAACCCAUAAGAAGAGCUAAAUGAGACACUGUCAAGGCAAAGGCUUGGGCCAUCUGCAGGCCCAUUGUUGAACUCGCAACCGCAAGGCGAU
rnacentral:lncRNA from 1 species